UGGAGGAAAGCAGGGGAUCGUAAGACCUUGCGCUUUUGGAGCGGCCGAUGUCUGAUUAGCUAGUUGGUGGGGUAAUGGCCUACCAAAGCUUCGAUCAGUAGCUGGUCUGAGAGGACGGCCAGCCACACUGGGACUGAGACACGGCCCAGACUCCUACGGGAGGCAGCAGUGGGGAAUUUUGGACAAUGGGCACAAGCCUGAUCCAGCUAUGCCGCGUGAGUGAAGAAGGCCUUCGGGUUGUAAAGCUCUUUCAGCCGGGAAGAAAAGGCUGCGACUAAUAAUCGCAGUUCAUGACGGUACCGGAAGAAGAAGCACCGGCUAACUACGUGCCAGCAGCCGCGGUAAUACGUAGGGUGCGAGCGUUAAUCGGAAUUACUGGGCGUAAAGGGUGCGCAGGCGGUUUUGUAAGUCAGAUGUGA
rnacentral:rRNA from 1 species